GAUGAAGAACGUAGCGAAAUGCGAUAAGUAAUGUGAAUUGCAGAAUUCAGUGAAUCAUCGAAUCUUUGAACGCACCUUGCACCCUUUGGCAUUCCGAAGGGUAUGCUCGUUUGAGCGUCAUUGUACUCUCACACUCCCGAUCUUUGGAUUGGGAGCGGUGGACUUGGGUUUGCUGCUUGCCGUGGCUCACCUCAAAUGGAUUAGUGCAACUCUUGGUUGACCAUAGUACGGCGUGAUAAGUGUCUUCGCCGGCACCUCACUGGGUGGGCCGAUCGGGAGCUCUGUGCUUCAAACCGUCUUCGGACAACAACUGACAACUUGACCUCAAAUCGAGUAGGACCACCCGCUGAACUUAAGCAUAUCAAUAAGCGGAGGA
rnacentral:misc_RNA from 1 species